rnacentral:rRNA from 1 species
GAUGAACGCUGGCGGCGUGCCUAAUACAUGCAAGUCGAGCGAACGGACGAGAAGCUUGCUUCUCUGAUGUUAGCGGCGGACGGGUGAGUAACACGUGGAUAACCUACCUAUAAGACUGGGAUAACUUCGGGAAACCGGAGCUAAUACCGGAUAAUAUUUUGAACCGCAUGGUUCAAAAGUGAAAGACGGUCUUGCUGUCACUUAUAGAUGGAUCCGCGCUGCAUUAGCUAGUUGGUAAGGUAACGGCUCACCAAGGCAACGAUGCAUAGCCGACCUGAGAGGGUGAUCGGCCACACUGGAACUGAGCCACGGUCCAGACUCCUACGGGAGGCAGCAGUAGGGAAUCUUCCGCAAAGGGCGAAAGCAUGACGGAGCAACGCCGAGUGAGUGAUGAAGGUCUUCGGAUCGUAAAACUCUGUUAUUAGGGAAGAACAUAUGUGUAAGUAACUGUGCACAGCUUGACGGUACCUAAUCAGAAAGCCACGGCUAACUACGUG